UACGUAGGGGGCGAGCGUUGUCCGGAAUCAUUGGGCGUAAAGCGCGUGUAGGCGGCCCGGUAAGUCCGCUGUGAAAGUCCAGGGCUCAACCCUGGGAUGCCGGUGGAUACUGUCGGGCUCGAGUCCGGAAGAGGCGAGUGGAAUUCCUGGUGUAGCGGUGAAAUGCGCAGAUAUCAGGAAGAACACCCGUGGCGAAAGCGGCGCACUGGACCAUAACUGACGCUGAUGCGCGAAAGCUAGGGGAGCAAGCAGG
rnacentral:rRNA from 1 species